rnacentral:lncRNA from 1 species
GUUGUCGUCAUUUUCUCAUGCCUCCCAAAGAUUUUGGCUCAAAGUAGUCCGAAAAGAUUUUGGAUUAAGUCUCAGAAACAUAAGCUGAUAUGCUUUUAGUUUUAUAUGAUUCUGUGAAAACUUAAAAAUAAAAUCCUGAAUUGAUAUUUUAUUCUACUUUUUAUUUUUUAGAGUCAGAGUCUUGCUCUGUCCACCAGGCAACCCCACACUCCUGGCCUCAAGUGAUCCUCCUGCCUCAGUCUGCCAAGUAGCUAGGACUGCAGGUGCACCACCAUGCCUGGCUAACUUUUAAAAUCUUUUUUGUAGAAACAGAGUCUUGCUAUGUGGCCAAGUUGGUCUUGAACUCCUGGCCUUGAGUGAUCCUCCCACCUCUACCUCCCGAAGCACUGUUAUUAUAGGUAAGAGCCACGGCACCUGGCUUCUGUCUUUACGAAAAUCGGCCAUUUGAUUUGUCAUUUCCACAUCACCAUUAAUGUUUGGUUAAAUGUGAGGUUGUAGGUAGUUUCUAUUUAAACAUCAGGACUUAGUUAUGCCUGUUGUAUCAAUCAAUGCAUAAAUGUGAAGCCAGAGGUGACAACAUUUGAGUAGGAAUUUAAGUUGUUUUAAAUAAUUUCUAGGGCAUUGUGAUGCAAAUAUUUGCAUGUAAUCCAAUACAAAUGUCAAUAAUAUUUUUGAGGAUAAUGAUACAGAGGACAUUUUACUAUAGGAAUAAAAUCAAGGAAAGAAUUUUGACAAAAGAAAGAACUCAUUUGAAACAAUGCCCAAGCCUCUGCUUCAAGUCAACAGGGAAGGAGAACGGCACCUACCUCACAUUAGAAGCCUGCUGCAGUCAUGUAAAGAAGGUAACCAUGGCAAGAAACUGCUUGUUUCCAUGCAUAAUGUAUUUAACUUAGAGACUGGCAUGGGCCUUAGAGGAAGCCCUAAUGAUGCACUGUUCAAAACCAGAAAGAUGUGAGAGGGAUGUGCCGGUGCUGAGAUUUCCUUCAAGGCUCUGAAAGCUGGAAGCGAGACAGAGAUCUCCUGCAGAGCAUCUCUCCUCACUGAUACCUGAAACACGUGCUGGCCCUGAUUCCUUUAAACAUCAGAAAUGUGGUGUCAAGGCUCUGGGUGUCCAAGUGGUGUGAGCAGGUCAUGGGAUCCUGGAGUCCAGCUAGAACAUAGGAAAGAAGUCUGAGUUCCGCAGGUACUCUUGCCAGACCCCGGGUUUAUUCUGCUCCGAUCCUGAUGCACGCAGGGCAACACACAAGGAGAGAGGCCUGCUGCUGUAUUUUAAUGGAUCGUCUCAGCUGGCAUCUCAUUUCCAAUACUGGCCUUCACAAGGCGUUCCUUUCCCGUCCUAUCUAUGCAGCAGAGGCCGACUGGCAGGAUCACCACAGUGUUGCUUCUGCACAUUCCAUCACUGUCCACGCGUGAGAGCCAUGACACAGGACUUGGUCCGAGGUCAAGUGUAAAUCCCAGCUGUGGAGGCUCCUCCAAGAGGUAAAAUUGUGGUAACUUCAAGGUGGCUUGAGUGCUUCAUUCUCUUGGAUUGAGAACAUCUGCAGUUGGGACACAGGUAGAAAAGCACCUGGCUUCUCGCCUUUCUAGACCUAAGCCAGGCAGGCAGUUUGGGAGCUCCCUACUCUUCCUAGUGGGUGAGGCAAACAGGAAGCCUGGAAACAAAUUUCAGACGCUGAACUUUUCCCUCCACACCAAAGAGGCUACAUAACAAAUACCGUUCUGGUGUAGAUCUAAAGAACCCAUUGAUCAACUUAAAUUCUUCAGUGGAGUGGUAUGUAAUGUGAUUUCUGAAAGUGAGAAAACUUCCAUAUAUUGUGAAUAUAUUUAAAGUCAAUAAACAUGUUAAUUCAUAAAAGUGAACCCUUACCUGUAAUUGUGGUCAAUUGAAAUGCAAAUAAUUAAAUCAUAGAUUAAAUAACAAUUUUAAUCAUGUCUUUUAAAAACAGGAACAGAAAAAGUAUAUGAAUAAAAGACUUGUUUAUUAUUCGAUGGGCACAUAGCCAAGAAAUCUGAAAAGAUGGGAAGUAACGGGGCCAUAGCAUGGAGUACACAUGAGGCACUUAGAUGGCAUUCCUUGAUUGUUCAUCACCUUGGUCAUUAAAGGAAUUAAGCACAUUAAUUCCUUAAUUAAUUAAUAAUGAAAGAAAACAAUCGAGGAAAAGUUUGAGAUCAGUCUAUUCCUGGACUGGAAAUAGAUGACUAGAUGUACAUUAGAAUUGAUGAUUCCAGGAACACUUAGAAUUGUGAAAAAUAUAGAGUACCUGCCCUCAAAGAAGCAAGCAACUUAGGAUGGAAAAAAUGAAUGUACAUAAGUCAUAUGAAGGAAAGAAGGGAAUCAGCAGCCAGGGAAGUGUCCUUGGAGCUGCGUCUGAUAAUAGCUGUGCUACGAUUAAUUAUAUAAAAAAUAAUAAUUCAAACUGGAACACUGUCAUUGCUGCACUUAUGUAUUCAAAAUGCAGCCAUAGUACUGCCAUUUACACUUGUGUCCUUUAUUGAGUUGGUGUGAAAACUCUACCGCAAAUCAACUGUGAGACAGCAGUGCAGCCAUUAUGUCCUUAUUUUACAGAUAAAGACGUUCAAGACCAUAGGAGAAUAGCACCUGUGUUAGAUAAUUCUAGAGAACACCAUUCAUAUCGUAGCCACCAAGUGACUUACUUAAGAUAGCAACUCUGGGUAAUAAUAGGGCUAAAUCUUGGCAAAGCUUCAGUGUGAGAAUAUGGGCAUUGGAGUCAGAUGGGCAUUUAUAAGCUGAAUAAACUUGGUCCUCAUGUUUGUCAUCAUUAUCAUCAUUUAUUUUCUUUGUGCCUCAGUUUCCUAAUCAGCAAAAUGGAAUAACAGUAAUUGUUUCACACAUUUGUUGGGAGGAUUAAUGAGGUAUGUAUGCAAAGCACUUAGCACAAAGUAUGUAUUUAAUAAAUAGUUCCAGUUACAUAAAUAAUAUUAUUUAGAACCCAUGAAUUUGGAUUUCUAGAUGAGAACUCCUGAUACAUUAUGCUUCUCAUGCUUUUAACAUCUAAUAAUUCCAUAUAGACAUAUCUGUUAAACAGAUAUGUGUGAAAAUAAGCAGACACACUCUUUCAC